rnacentral:rRNA from 1 species
UACAGAGGGUGCGAGCGUUGUCCGGAAUCACUGGGCGUAAAGGGCGCGUAGGUGGCGACCCAAGUCGAUGGUGAAAGCUCGCCGCUCAACGGCGAGUCGGCCACCGAUACUGGGUUGCUGGAGCACUGUAGAGGCAGAUGGAAUUCCGGGUGUAGCGGUGGAAUGCGUAGAGAUCCGGGAAGAACACCGGUGGCGAAGGCGGCUCACUGGCCCGGUACUGACGCUGAGGUGCGAAAGCGUGGGGGAGCAAACAGG